rnacentral:rRNA from 1 species
UACAGAGGGGGCAAGCGUUGUUCGGAAUUACUGGGCGUAAAGGGCGCGUAGGCGGCCUUCUAAGUCGAACGUGAAAUCCCUGGGCUCAACCCAGGAACUGCGUCCGAUACUGGAAGGCUUGAGUCCGGGAGAGGGAUGCGGAAUUCCAGGUGUAGCGGUGAAAUGCGUAGAGAUCAGGAAGAACAUCGGUGGCGAAGGCGCUCUGCUGGACCAUAACUGACACUCAGGGACGAAAGCUAGGGGAGCGAAUGGG